GGUUAAGCGACUAAGCGUACACGGUGGAUGCCCUGGCAGUCAGAGGCGAUGAAGGACGUGCUAAUCUGCGAUAAGCGCCGGUAAGGUGAUAUGAACCGUUAUAACCGGCGAUUUCCGAAUGGGGAAACCCAGUGUGACUCGUCACACUAUCAUUAACUGAAUCCAUAGGUUAAUGAGGCGAACCGGGGGAACUGAAACAUCUAAGUACCCCGAGGAAAAGAAAUCAACCGAGAUUCCCCCAGUAGCGGCGAGCGAACGGGGAGGAGCCCAGAGCCUGAAUCAGCAUGUGUGUUAGUGGAAGCGUCUGGAAAGGCGCGCGAUACAGGGUGACAGCCCCGUACACAAAAGCGCAUGUGCUGUGAGCUCGAUGAGUAGGGCGGGACACGUGGUAUCCUGUCUGAAUAUGGGGGGACCAUCCUCCAAGGCUAAAUACUCCUGACUGACCGAUAGUGAACCAGUACCGUGAGGGAAAGGCGAAAAGAACCCCGGCGAGGGGAGUGAAAAAGAACCUGAAACCGUGUACGUACAAGCAGUGGGAGCCCCACCACUAAGCCAGUGGUGAACUCCACAUACGCAUCCUUUGCUGAGGAUACGGUUAACGGAGCGAAAGCGACGUUCAACCUCAAAAGAAGCAGAGGGGGCUUAGUGGUGGGGUGACUGCGUACCUUUUGUAUAAUGGGUCAGCGACUUAUAUUCUGUAGCAAGGUUAACCGAAUAGGG
rnacentral:rRNA from 1 species